AAGAAAGUAAGAAAGAGUACACGGGGGAUGCCUUGGCUCUCAGAGGCGAAGAAGGACGUGAUAAGCUGCGAUAAGCACCGGGGAUCUGCAAAUAGGAACUGAUCCGGUGAUUUCCGAAUGGGGCAACCCGGCAUGUUGAAGACAUGUCACAUAUAAUGAGCAAACCUGCCGAACUGAAACAUCUAAGUAAGCAGAGGAAGAGAAAAUAACAAUGAUUUCCUGAGUAGUGGCGAGCGAAAGGGAAGAAGCCCAAACCAAUACUGUUACGGCAGUGUUGGGGUUGUAGGACUACGAUGUGGUAUUAGCAAACAGAAGUGGAACGGGAUGGGAAGCCCGGCGAUACAUGGUGAUAGCCCAGUACACGUAUAGAAUGCUAGCCUAGUAGUAUCCUGAGUACCGCGAGGUCGGAGACGCCUUGUGGGAAUCAGCCGGCACCAUCCGGUAAGGCUAAAUACUCCUGAGAGACCGAUAGUGAACCAGUACCGUGAGGGAAAGGU
rnacentral:rRNA from 1 species